AAAAGGGGUAGUACUUGUGGUUGAGGCCCUUGAUCAAAUUUAAUGGCACCACCCGUUCGCCAGUGUGAUAACCAUCGAGAACGGCCAUUUCCUCGGCUGUCAGCUCAAAAUCGAAGAUAUCGAAGUUCUCAGAAAUUCGAAUCAAAUAUGUGCUUUAUAAUGCGACUCUUGAGAUCAGUAUAUUGUUAUUUUCGACCACAGCAACACGUUCGUUUUGGACAGGAAACUGUGAGCAUUUCGGAGAGCCGCGAAAUGACAAAUCAAAACCACAUCCGAAAUUAUACGAUUGAUCAACGUCGCAAGGCACACGAAAGAUUCGAGAAACUUUGAUAAAGAGAUUUGGAGGAGUGCAAAUAAUUAUUUUCCCAGAUUCUCCGCCCUGUAUUAAAGGUCUUCAAUUGGAGCAACUCCUCCGGCGUCAGGUGAAAAUCAAAUAUAUCCAGAUUCUCGACGAGAUGCGCUUGCUGGGCAGCUUUUGGAAUAGGUACCGUGCCAAUAUCGAUCUGUGGAUUUUUAGCCAAUAAAUAUCUUCAUCACUUUACAA